rnacentral:rRNA from 1 species
GGGUGCGAUCAUACCAGCACUAAUGCACCCGAUCCCAUCAGAACUCCGUAAUGAAGCGUGCUUGGGCGAGAGCAGUAGUAGGAUGGCUGACCUCCUGGGAAGUCCUCGUGUUGCACCCC